UAUAGAAUUACUAUGCCAUUCAAAGUAUAGAAUAUUUGAUAUUUUCAAUUUUUUGAACUUAGAUAAAAAUUAUACCCUAUGAUUGAGUCGUCUCCACAAGAUAACAGUAUUAAUGCAAAUAUUAGAAAUGAUUAAAUAACUAAUCUAAGGGCUAAAAGUCUAAUCCUCUAUACUUUAGAUAGUAUAGUAGCUAUAAUCUAUAUAUAUAUAGAGUAAAAUUAUUGUGCUAUUAAGAGUAUAGUAAUUUUUGUGCUCCUAAUUUUCUAAUCAUUUAUUGUGCUAUUAAGAGUAUAGCAGUUUUUGUGCUCCUAAUUUUCUAAUCAUUUAUUAAUUUUGAUGGAUAAUUAGGAUGAGAAAUACAAGAGAAAUUAAGAAAAAAU
rnacentral:lncRNA from 1 species